UACGUAGGGGGCAAGCGUUGUCCGGAUUUAUUGGGCGUAAAGAGCGUGUAGGCGGCCAUGUAGGUCCGGUGUGAAAACUCGAGGCUUAACCUCGAGAUGUCAUCGGAAACCAUUUGGCUAGAGUCCGGAAGAGGAGAGUGGAAUUCCUGGUGUAGCGGUGAAAUGCGCAGAUAUCGGGAAGAACACCCGUGGCGAAGGCGGCUCUCUGGGACGGUACUGACGCUGAGACGCGAAAGCGUGGGGAGCGAACAGG
rnacentral:rRNA from 1 species